rnacentral:lncRNA from 1 species
CCUCCAGCCCGGCGGGUUAGCCCGGGCCGGCCCGAGGCCCAGGAGGGGGCCUCGGCGGGGCGGUGUGGCGCGGUGAGCGGAGCCCGCCCUGGCCGGGGCGCCGCCCCGAGCUCGCAGUUGGCCAAAUCCCUUCCGCUCGGAGCCCGCUUCAACUUCUGCAAACGGGCCAGCCGGGAAGGCCCCUCCGGCGCUCCGCUUCUAAGUCAGCGCCCGCUCCGGCUCCGGCUCCGGCUCCGGCUCGUUCUCCCCGGCCCGGGCCACAGCGAGCAGGAGUCCCCCCUCCUUCCCUCCCUCCCUCCCUCCCGGGCUCUCGCAUCCCUGGCUGCCAGGGGGCCACUGGGGCCCCCGGCUCGCCGCCGCCGCCGCCGCCGCCCCGGGUUCCCUGAACGGCUCCGGCGCUUUCGGGAGGGGAAACUGAGGCUUCCAGAGGGGCCAGGGACCGGGUCCUCCCGGGUACCCCGAAUCCCGCGCGGCCCUGCUUACCCCGCGCGCUCGGCUCUGGCUCCGCUCGGACUCCUCUGGCUGCAGCUGCGGCGGGAGGGAGGAUCUGACCCAGGACCAGGGGCGGGGCGAAGGGAGGGAGGGAGGGAAGGACCCGGGCGGCCCCGCCUCCGAGCCCAGCCAGGAGGGAAGUCCAGAAGGGGAAACCGAGGCGCGGGGGACCGGGAGGACGAGAUCCCAGGGCACCCCCAGCGGCAUUUAGCAAGCAGCGGCUGUGCCUGCCCUGGGCCCGGCGCCGCGGGAAGGAUCCUCGGCUCUCCCGGGAGCUGCAGCUAUGUCCGUGGGGAAGCCCCACGCAAGUAUGGCCUGGGCCCCCUAGGACGGCUGUCCGGGCAGCGGGGGAGGGUGACUUUAGCGACUUGCACAGGGUUAUACAGGCAGAAUUUGAACCCAGGACUUUGGGGCCUCAAAACCAGCUGUCCCUCCCCCUCAGGCAGUGUUGUUGUCUGGGUCUUUGUGACCCAUGUGGCUGAGUCCCGCCUCUUCCUGCUUGGGGGCACCCUGGGGGCAAGCCAGGCUCUGCCAGUCGCUGCCAGCCCCACCACACAUGGCAUUUGGCCGGAUGUUGGCACCCCAGAAACCCAGUGUGGCCCAGGGACCCUGGCCUGA